rnacentral:lncRNA from 1 species
AGCUAUGCGCCUCGUGCCUGGGAGCCUUAGGGCCACACAGAAGGGUAGAAAUCAGUUUCAGGUCUGGAGGUCUGGAACAGCUUUGUUAAACCCAGUUUUUUUCCUAUGAAAAUGGCUGCAGACACUGGGGAAGGGAGAGGGUGGCCCUGAUCCCGAUGACUCUGAAACAUGCUUGCCCUUCCCCAGAGGUUCCUGCUCCCAGCCCAGGCCCAGAUGGCGACACAAGCUCAUGGAAUGGCAGACUCUGGACGUGCUCCUAGAGAUGGGAGGUCAAAAUGAUCAACGUCCAGGGUCCCUUCAUCUCAGAGGGUCUCGAGUCACUUCAUUUAAAGUAUGGCCUGGGAGAUCUCCCAUCCAGCCAUACGCUGCCCAGGACUGGCUCAACACCUCCCACCCACCACCGCUGGUUCACCCAUGACACGUCACCUCCCACCCGCCACUACUGGCUCACCUGUAACACCCCAGGCAGCUCAGAUGCCCAGCAGGUCCUGCUGGUGUGUAUUAGCUGGGGUUCUCCAAAGAACCAGAGCCACCAGGAGACACACCCAUCUCUGUAUCUGGAGAAAGAGAUCGAUGAGAAGGAAUCUGCUCCUGUGAUGAUGGAGACUGAGAAGUCCCGAGAGCCACAGUUGGCACCCUGGAGACCCCGGAGAGCGAUACCACCGCUC